CGGUGGAGCAUGUGGUUUAAUUCGAAGCAACGCGAAGAACCUUACCAGGCCUUGACAUGCAGAGAACUUUCCAGAGAUGGAUUGGUGCCUUCGGGAACUCUGACACAGGUGCUGCAUGGCUGUCGCCAGCUCGUGUUGUGAGAUGUUGGGUUAAGUCCCGUAACGAGCGCAACCCUUGUCCUUAGUUACCAGCACGUUAUGGUGGGCACUCUAAGGAGACUGCCGGUGACAAACCGGAGGAAGGUGGGGAUGACGUCAAGUCAUCAUGGCCCUUACGGCCUGGGCUACACACGUGCUACAAUGGUCGGUACAAAGGGUUGCCAAGCCGCGAGGUGGAGCUAAUCCCAUAAAACCGAUCGUAGUCCGGAUCGCAGUCUGCAACUCGACUGCGUGAAGUCGGAAUCGCUAGUAAUCGUGAAUCAGAAUGUCACGGUGAAUACGUUCCCGGGCCUU
rnacentral:rRNA from 1 species